rnacentral:rRNA from 1 species
AGCAGCCGCGGUAAUUCCAGCUCCAAUAGCGUAUAUUAAAGUUGUUGCAGUUAAAAAGCUCGUAGUUGAAUUUCGGGGUUAGUAGGUUGGUCAUGCCUCUGGUAUGUACUGGUCUCACUGAUUCCUCCUUCCUGAUGAACCGUAAUGCCAUUAAUUUGGUGUUGCGGGGAAUUUGGACUGUUACUUUGAAAAAAUUAGAGUGUUUAAAGCAAGCUAACGCUUGAAUACAUUAGCAUGGAAUAAUGAAAUAGGACGUUCGAUCCUAUUUUGUUGGUUUCUAGGAUUGACGUAAUGAUUAAUAGGGAUAGUUGGGGGCAUUAGUAUUCAAUUGUCAGAGGUGAAAUUCUUGGAUUUAUUGAAGACUAACUACUGCGAAAGCAUUUGCCAAGGAUGUUUUCAUUAAUCAAGAACGAAAGUUAGGGGAUCGAAGACGAUCAGAUACCGUCGUAGUCUUAAACCAUAAACUACGCCGACUAGGGAUCGGAUGAUGUUAAUUUUUUAAUGACUCGUUCGGCGCCUUACGG